UACAGAGGUCCCGAGCGUUGUUCGGAUUCAUUGGGCGUAAAGGGUGCGUAGGUGGCGCGCUAAGUCAGGUGUGAAAUUUCGGAGCUUAACUCCGAAACUGCAUUUGAUACUGGCGUGCUUGAGGACUGGAGAGGAGACUGGAAUUCACGGUGUAGCAGUGAAAUGCGUAGAGAUCGUGAGGAAGACCAGUGGCGAAGGCGGGUCUCUGGACAGUUCCUGACACUGAGGCACGAAGGCCAGGGGAGCAAACGGG
rnacentral:rRNA from 1 species